AUGCCAGUUCAAUGUGUCUGCUCAACUUGAAAAUGUUUUGCAGAGCAUAUUUAAAAAUUACACUGGUAAAGUAAAGCCACAGUACGAGCCUUGGAGACUUUGUUGUCUUUGAGGUCCCAAAAGAUGGCUACACCA